AAACAGAUUUAAACUCCAACUUCAAAAUCAUGUUUUGCGAGUUUUUUCCGAUCAUAGAUGUUCUGGUAUAAACCUCCGAAAUAGAAUCUUCUGGUGCACCAAAUUUUGAUGACAUGCAUUUAUAUCUGCAAUGCAUAUUGCCUUCUCCCUCAGUUGCAUUUUGCAUUUUGAGUCAAAAAAGCUGGAACAUGAAGACAUGAAAAUUAUACUGCUUAUUGUCAUAUCUUAAUACCUAGAAUCUUAUGCGGACAAGAGUUUAAUUCUGAUACAUAUACUGCACAUGCAUGACUACCAUUGGUAUGUUACAUCUUGGCUACAGAACUUGAUACGUUUAUGAUGUGUUUGGGAUAAUAUGCAAGCUAACUUUUACUGCUGGAUAAUGGACUUGAGUUGCAUUUACCACUCAGAGCUUCUUCAGCAUUUUGUAGUUUUUGUGAGCUUUAUAAGUUUACUAGUUAGCAGGCAAACGAGACAUAAGUCGCUGUGUAGUUUUGUUAUUCUAAUCAGUCUUGUUGCUUUCAUGCUACACCAAUUAUUCCUAUCCAUGCUUAACAGGCCUUUAUCCCUUUCUCUAGUUUAAUUUUUUUUAAAAAGCAACUAUUCACUUGUCUUGCAG
rnacentral:lncRNA from 1 species